ensembl:snoRNA SNORA70 Small nucleolar RNA SNORA70
UUGUAGUCAAUUAACUUGAUUCUGCUUUUCCCCCUGUGAGGCCUGGUAUACAAUGGCUGCAAAAGUAGCCUCCUUGGUUGUGGAUGCAGCCUAUUGCUUGUAUGGGUUGUCUAAGGGACCAUGGAGAAAAUU